rnacentral:rRNA from 1 species
GACGAACGCUGGCGGCGUGCUUAACACAUGCAAGUCGACAUGCGUGGCGAACGGGUGCGUAAUACGUAGGUAACCUGCCCUCACUUUUGGGAUAAGCCUUGGAAACGAGGUCUAAUACCGUAUUACGGGUGAUGGGCUCGUGGCCUAUCAGCUUGUUGGUGGGGUGAUAGCCUACCAAGGCGGUGACGGGUAGCCGGCCUGAGAGGGGGCACGGCAACAUGAGGACUGAGCAACGGCCUCGACUCAUACGGGGGGAAGCAGUGGGGGAUAUUGCAGAAUGGGCGAAAGACUGAUGCAGCGACGCUGGGUGGGGGAUGAGGGCUUGCGGGUUGUAAACCUCUUGCGCUAUCGAACGGGUAGGUGGAGAAGAAGCGCCGGCUAACUACGUGCCAGCAGCCGAGGUAAUAC